AGAGUUUGAUCAUGGCUCAGAGCGAACGCUGGCGGCGUGCCUAACACAUGCAAGUCGAACGUGAAAAGGGGCAACCCUGAGUAAAGUGGCGUACGGGUGAGUAAUAUAUAGAUAAUCUACCCUAGAAUCUGGAAUAACCUGCCGAAAGGCGGGCUAAUACUGGAUAGAGCGAUGGAAUCCGUAAUUGGGUUUUCGGGAAA
rnacentral:rRNA from 1 species